rnacentral:rRNA from 2 species
GUCGAGCGGAUCUUCAUUAGCUUGCUUUUGAAGAUCAGCGGCGGACGGGUGAGUAACACGUGGGCAACCUGCCUGUAAGACUGGGAUAACUUCGGGAAACCGGAGCUAAUACCGGAUAAUCCUUUCCCUCUCAUGAGGGAAAGCUGAAAGACGGUUUCGGCUGUCACUUACAGAUGGGCCCGCGGCGCAUUAGCUAGUUGGUGAGGUAACGGCUCACCAAGGCGACGAUGCGUAGCCGACCUGAGAGGGUGAUCGGCCACACUGGGACUGAGACACGGCCCAGACUCCUACGGGAGGCAGCAGUAGGGAAUCUUCCGCAAUGGACGAAAGUCUGACGGAGCAACGCCGCGUGAGCGAUGAAGGCCUUCGGGUCGUAAAGCUCUGUUGUCAGGGAAGAACAAGUACCGGAGUAACUGCCGGUACCUUGACGGUACCUGACCAGAAAGCCACGGCUAACUACGUGCCAGCAGCCGCGGUAAUACGUAGGUGGCAAGCGUUGUCCGGAAUUAUUGGGCGUAAAGCGCGCGCAGGCGGUUCCUUAAGUCUGAUGUGAAAGCCCCCGGCUCAACCGGGGAGGGUCAUUGGAAACUGGGGAACUUGAGUGCAGAAGAGGAGAGCGGAAUUCCACGUGUAGCGGUGAAAUGCGUAGAGAUGUGGAGGAACACCAGUGGCGAAGGCGGCUCUCUGGUCUGUAACUGACGCUGAG